UAUACGACCGUACCGCAAACCGACACUGGUGCGCGAGAUGAGUAUUCUAAGGCGCUUGAGAGAACUCAGGAGAAGGAACUCGGCAAAUUGACACCGUAACUUCGGAAGAAGGUGUGCCCUAUUAGUGUGUAGUGAACAGCGAAGCAUGAAUGGGUUGCAAAAAAUCGGUGGCUGCGACUGUUUAUUAAAAACACAGCACUCUGCAAACACGAAAGUGGACGUAUAGGGUGUGACGCCUGCCCGGUGCUGGAAGAUUAAAUGAUGGGGUGCAAGCUCUUGAUUGAAGUCCCAGUAAACGGCGGCCGUAACGAUAACGGUCCUAAGGUAGCGAAAUUCCUUGUCGGGUAAGUUCCGACCUGCACGAAUGGCGUAACGAUGGCCACACUGUCUCCUCCUGAGACUCAGCGAAGUUGAAAUGUUUGUGAUGAUGCAAUCUCCCCGCGGAAAGACGGAAAGACCCCAUGAACCUUUACUGUAGCUUUGUAUUGGACUUUGAACAGAUCUGUGUAGGAUAGGUGGGAGGCUUUGAAGCAGGGUCGCUAGAUCUUGUGGAGCCAACGUUGAAAUACCACCCUGGUGUGUUUGAGGUUCUAACCUAGGUCCAUUAUCUGGAUCGGGGACAGUGCAUGGUAGGCAGUUUGACUGGGGCGGUCUCCUCCCAAAGCGUAACGGAGGAGUUCGAAGGUACGCUAGUUACGGUCGGACAUCGUGACGAUAGUGCAAUGGCAUAAGCGUGCUUAACUGCGAGACUGACAAGUCGAGCAGAUGCGAAAGCAGGACAUAGUGAUCCGGUGGUUCUGUAUGGAAGGGCCAUCGCUCAACGGAUAAAAGGUACUCUGGGGAUAACAGGCUGAUACCGCCCAAGAGUUCAUAUCGACGGCGGUGUUUGGCACCUCGAUGUCGGCUCAUCUCAUCCUGGGGCUGUAGCCGGUCCCAAAGGUAUGGCUGUUCGCCAUUUAAAGAGGUACGUGAGCUGGGUUUAAAACGUCGUGAGACAGUUUGGUCCCUAUCUUCGUGGGCGCUGCAGAUUUGAGGAAGCCUGCCCCUAGUACGAGAGGACCGGAGUGGACACACCUCUGGUGUAUCGGUUGUCACGCCAGUGGCAUUGCCGAGUAGCUAAGUGUGGAAGAGAUAACCGCUGAAAGCAUCUAAGCGGGAAACUCGUUUCAAGAUGAGAUCUGCCGGGGCCUUGAGCCCCCUAAAGAGUCGUUCAAGACCAGGACGUUGAUAGGUCAGGUGUGGAAGCAA
rnacentral:rRNA from 1 species